rnacentral:rRNA from 1 species
GACGAACGCUGGCGGCGUGCUUAACACAUGCAAGUCGAACGGAAAGGCCCUGCUUUUGUGGGGUGCUCGAGUGGCGAACGGGUGAGUAACACGUGAGUAACCUGCCCUUGACUUUGGGAUAACUUCAGGAAACUGGGGCUAAUACCGGAUAGGAGCUCCUGCUGCAUGGUGGGGGUUGGAAAGUUUCGGCGGUUGGGGAUGGACUCGCGGCUUAUCAGCUUGUUGGUGGGGUAGUGGCUUACCAAGGCUUUGACGGGUAGCCGGCCUGAGAGGGUGACCGGCCACAUUGGGACUGAGAGACGGCCCAGACUCCUACGGGACGCAGCAGUGGGGAAUAUUGCACAAUGGGCGGAAGCCUGAUGCAGCAACGCCGCGUGCGGGAUGACGGCCUUCGGGUUGUAAACCGCUUUCGCCUGUGACGAAGCGGGAGUGACGGUAAUGGGUAAAGAAGCACCGGCUAACUACGUG